AUGCUCGCUUCAGCAGUACAUAUACUAAAACUGGACCUGAUACAGAGAAGAUGAGCACGGCCCCUGCACAGGAUGACACUCAAAAUAUUCCCAAAGCAGAAACUUCU